AGUGAACGCUGGCGGCAGGCUUUACACAUGCAAGUCGAACGGUAACACACCUUCGGGUUCUUCUGAGUGGUGAACAGUGGAGUAAUGGAUCGGAACAUACCCGAAUCUACUUUUUAGCGGAGGGAAAGCUAGGGUAAUACCCGAUAAUACCGCAUACUAAAAACGGGUGACCAGGCGGCAUUUUUGGGCCUCGCGCGUUUGAAUGGGCCGAUGUCGGAUUAGGUAGUUGGUGGGGUAAAGGCCUACCAAGGCGACGAUCUGUAGCUGGUCUGAGAGGAUGACCAGCCACACUGGGACUGAGACACGGUCCAGACUCCUACGGGAGGCAGCAGUGGGGAAUAUUGGACAAUGGGCGCAAGCCUGAUCCAGCCAUGCCGCGUGCGGGAAGAAGGCCUUCGGGUUGUAAACCGCUUUUGUAGGGAACGAAAAGCAUCUGGUUAAUACCUCGCGGUGCUGACGGUACCCAAAGAAUAAGCACCGGCUAAUUACGUG
rnacentral:rRNA from 1 species